GAGUAUACUCUUCCCAGUAUAACAUCUGAAGACGCAGCUCCUGAGAGAAAAGCUUCUAUACAUGUGAAGUUUGAGAUACCAUAUUUUGCUGUUUCAGGAAUCCAGGUACGCAUCUUUUGGACCUGAAUAUGCCUACCCACAGGGUGUCUACAAUCCUCACAUGGGUCAGCAUUACCUUCAAAUAUAUGGUGUACCAAGCACAGUUAACACAAAUAUUGUCCCAUAUGGACAAAUGGGUCAUCCUCUCUCUGGUAACCAUGGGUAUCCAACCAUUCAGGGCUAUGUGACACCA